ACCUUAUAAAGAGCGGCGGAGGGACUGGCCCUGUGAAGCCCGGCAACCUGCAUAUUGCAAGGUGCCAAAUCCAGCGGUAUGACCGAGAGAUGAGGA
rfam:Anaerotruncus colihominis DSM 17241 Scfld_02_1 genomic scaffold, whole genome shotgun sequence.